UUAACUCAAGUUUUCUAUGGCGUCGGAACGUUUGCGUACGUUUGCCGCUACGGGCGCUGUUCCAACUGCAUACAAAUUUGAGUUA
rnacentral:pre_miRNA from 1 species